ACGAAAAAAUACAUAUUCACAGCAUGAUGAACGUAUAAACGGCAGUCAAAUCCAAGAAAAAAAUACCACUCACACACACAAACGCACUUUUGUUUAUCUGAAAAAUCCAGUCAUUAUCCCCAUUACCUUUUAAUUUGAAUAUACACACACACAAACACUUACCCACCAACCCACCUUCUCAUCUCCACGAAGUUGGUACAAAAAUAGAUGGCAGGCAAAACUAAUGUAGUGAAUAUUCCCGCUAUUAGUGUUGGUUCAUUUUGAAGUUUGUUAUUGUAAACAAACCGCCGUUCACAAUUUCACCAUGUCAUGAAAUAUGAAUCUUUGCUUCGUUCGACUAAAUUCAUAUUGAACAGCCAGCAAAAGGGAAAAAGGUUUUGAUCCGUAGCCUGUGGAAGAAAUCUGCUGUCGAAAUAUCGUGAGCGUUUCGAUAUUUUAUCACGGUGUGCGGUGUUCGUGUCACAACCAAAUUCAGCUUGAUGUGUCAAACUGAUGCCGGUUGCACAUUCACAUUGAUCUGAGCAUUUGGAAAGGGUUCAAUAAUGGGCAGAAAAAGGAUAGGGGCACAUACCAUUCGUGGCAAUAGGUCGAAACCGCGGAAAGUUGAAGAUGGCAAGCAAAAGGAGGAGAAAGCAUACUUUGCAAUCAAGUUGGCCGCCACUAGUAUUGUUCGACCGGAAUAUCGUGAUCGUAUUCUGCCAUGGAUCACAAAAACCAGCAUAAAAUGCACCGAAAUAUCUGAAUUGGCGUCGCUUUUAUUCCUCAACAAAGUCAGAGCUGCCACUGAACAGGCCAUCAUCACCGGCAAUUGGGAAUAUUUCGACGAUGGCGAUGGAAUGCACAUCAUCGAAAAUUGCUUCUAUGCUGUGUUGCGGCGCUACAAGGAAGACGAUUUCAUUAUGGAUCCAUGGUUCCGGCAUUGCUUUGAGAAUGUGGACAUCGAGAAUCGCUCCGCAUGGCCAAACAAUGAUUACUUCGGCAACUUGAUGAAAUAUUUGUUCCAACAAUAUGGCCGUAAUGUUAAGACGAAUUUGGAUACACAUGCACAGAAACGAUUGCGGUAUUUCUUGAGAUUGAAGGCAUUCAGACAGAACUACACUAACCGGAUUCGUGGCCUACCGGACACAUACGAUGAACGAGAUGUGGCAAAUGCAGUGUCAUGGGCAAUCAAACGAUAUGACGCAACAAGAGGUGAUGCUAAUCGCUUGGCCAAACGAGAUCGAUUGUUGCGUUACGUUCGAGACAUUCGUGGACCAGCUGACGAUGAUAUCGCCAAAUUCACCAAAGACGAAGAUACAUGGUUUUCAUCAUUGCCAAUGUGGUUGAUCAUGCAAUCGGAAAUCGAAACGCACCUCAACUGGGUUGAACAACACCACGACAACAUCGUGCAAGUCAUUGCGUUGCCAAACAUCAAGAAUUUGGUGGUCAUCCCAAUCUGUCAUCACACGCGAAAGGCAGUGAGAAUAGACGCUGAUGUUUUGUAUCGUAUGAUGUGCGAAACCGGUACCAUUCCGCGUGAUGAAUAUGGUCGGCAACAUACAGUGGGCCACGUCACGUCAAAAUCAAAUCAAGCGUAUUAUUUCAAUAUGAUUUUUAACAUGGAGAAAAUCAAUCGAGUGUUGAAAGCAAACAAAAAAUUCGAACAUAUUCUCAGCGAUGGUGUAUCGGCAUCGAUUCUGUACUCAGUGAAGAAAACCGUAGUCGACAAGUUAGUGGAAGAUGGUUUGGUGCGUAAACGGUACUCUGAUGGCUUCUAUGUCUAUGAAUUGGGCAUUGAUUGGGGCAUGAAGACGUGGAAUGCAACCGUUAGGCGACGGAUUAAUAAUGACAAAGAGCGAAUUCAUAAUGGCAAAGAGAUGAACUUCACAAUCAACAGCAAGAAGUAUCAUUAUGGGACCGAAGAAGGAGUGCGUAAAGAAAAGAGAGAGCGAUGGACUCGUGCCUUUGGGCAGUUCGAAGAGAGUGAUCGAAACAACCGUGUGCGAUAUGACCGAAUGCCAUCACCAAAAGGAAGCAAUUGGCGUGACUACAUACGGCAUCGAUUGACCAUCAUGAAGAAAGCCAUUGCAGUGUACACAACCAAAAAGUACACACGUUUAAGUUUUGAUCAUUACAUCGAGUCCAAUCGUGUCAGUGACAAGGUGGCCGCAAUGCUGACAAAUCGCAAACGAUGCAUCAUUAACAUUGGAGCUUCCCAACCACCUGCAAAUUCACCAAUACAGAUCAAGAAACACGUUCGAUGCCCGGGCGUGCGGAAAUUGGUGAAGAGUUUCAAGAAAAUGGAAGGCAAUGUCAUACGAUUUGUGAACGAAGCCAGAUCAUCACGAUUGUGUGCCAGAUGUUUCGAACCAUUUCCAUUGAGUACAUUGAACGAUCGUGUCAAGGUGUGUGAAUGGUGUAUGCCCGAUCAAGAUGAUUGGCCUGAUGGAAUGAAGCUACCAGAGAAAAUUGUAGCGGCAAAGAGCAAGCGGAAGUUACGAUCAGAGCGACGAGCGAUGCGACAAGCAGCAGUGCAGAAUCCAAAUCAACCCCGUGGUUUUGUGUCUAAGGUGAUUUGCUACCGUAAAAACUGGCAACAAAACGCGGCAAACGGUAUGGAUGACAAUGUUGAAGAGCGCAGAGGUGUAAUCAUUCACGACGCUGAACUCGGUAUCAUCGAGUACACAGAUGAAUAUGUGCCCGAAGACCCUGUUGACGACUCUCCAGUACUGAAGACAGUUUGGCAACGUGACAUUUCGGCUGCAAAAUUGAUCUUGUACAGAGGGCAUUGCGAACUCUUUGGACAUCGGCUGCAUGAUGCGUUCACACGUCAACACCUCGUGUAUCCAACUCGAUUCCGAGUCAACUUCAACAUUCAUUAAUAUCAAUGGAGCCGCAAUUUAUGUUUUAUUUUUCAAAAGAAUUUAUGUAACAGUAUGUUAUUUGUAGUUGGUUGAGGUCUUAGUCUCCCAGACAUCAUCGAUACCAGAUAUCGAUGGCUAUCUAUAUUCUAUAGUCUAUAUAGAUGUAGGUAGAGUACAGGAUAAUUCCUGUAGAUUCACUGUUUUAUAAAAAUGCAUCAAACGAUGGUUUUUUUUUCUGUUCCAAAAUAGAUGAUAAACGCCAGUGUAGUCCUGGAUUAGCGACACAUAUCUACUAUACGUAGGCACAUGGAUAAAUCGCGCUUUCUAAACCAUUCAACAUUUCCAUAAUUUCUUUAAACCAUGUUUUAGGAGAUUUUUAGUCUCAUUUGGUGACGGUCUCGUUUUCUCUGUUUUAUGAAUGAUUUGAAUGUCUGAUUGAAGCACCCAUGACCAAAAAAAAACACUCAUCACCCGAUUGGCCUUGAGAUUGAAACACUAACAAAAAGUGUUUUUCAGAAGAUAUAUUUGAUUUGCGCAUCUAUAUAUAGAUCCACGUUAUCCUUAAACGGAUUUCAAUCAUGGGUUCAAAUCAUGGGUUGUAGCCAUUCAUACGCCUCUUGCAUAUUCAACAUUCAAGGGACCAUUUCACCAAAAAUUCGUCUGCUUUUGAAUUGCGAAUACGAAUGGUUUAUCCAUUUGAAUUUCAUUGAAAUUGGAAAAUUUGCGCUACACCACCUGCAGCAUGAUUUCUCCAUUUUUGGCAUACAUUUCACAGACGGCUUUGUUGAAAUAUUCCCCAGGUGUUUAUUGGUUUUAACAGAUUUCUAAUUGGCAUUUCUAAUUUAGUUAUUUAUUCAAACCGUCAUUCUUCGGGCGAAAUUCAGUUUCUACACGUUUUCAUUUCAUUUUCAUCAGCUAAAUCUCAGCUCAUUUGGUUUUAUACCCAUGAUUUGUACAGUCGAAGGGUCAAACUUAUUAUGCCAGUCGUCUAUUUGGAAACCCAUGAUUUGGACUAAUUCAUUGGGAUUCGUCAAAUUAGAAUGUUGAUUUUAGUAUAGAUAGCCUAGAUUCAUGAUUUGUAUUAAAAACAUUCCGAAAUGAUGGAAUCAUUUAGAUUGAAAUCUCUAGAAACAUGAGUUGAACAAACCAUUUGGAGAAAUGUCAAACUGAAUUGCACUUGAGCAAUUUUCAGUGUGAAACAAACAGAGUUGAAAUCACAUUUUUCGAUAAAGAAUCUUUACUAUGCAUUUAAAAUUUAGUAAAGAUUGUUGCAUUAUAUAACCGAACCUCAAGAUCCUAAUUAACCAACUGAAAAGCCUUCCCUCCCCUAUGCGUCGCACAACCAAAUAGACAUUUGCAAUAAAAAUAAACCCCAUUGAAUAUGAGUAAAAUUGUGAGUGACAAGAUUUGUUAGUUAAUUUGAAACGGUUUAGCCGAAAAUGGAAUAGUAAACACAAACACACACAAAAAGCGAUCGGUUACAAUAGACACAGAUUGUAGAUAGUGUUCACACACAAACACCUACACAAUUGACUCUCGUUUUUAAUUGUCACGUAGCACAUGCACAUUCACUCGAUCAUUCAACAUUUUUUGCACGUUCUUUCCCUAUUUUUCUCUUCUUCUACAUUAGCUACGAACCAGGCUGUUUUCUUUUUAUUCUUUAUAUUAUUGUUAUGCUUAUUUCCUUUUUCAAAGUCACACAACCAACCAAUUUUAUCUCUAUAUCAUACACAAAAUACAUACACACAUAUUUCUUACAAUUUUCUGUAGUUCAACUUCUAGAACUUUAACAUGCAUUUUCUAUUCAACAAUAAAAUGCUUAACAAGAAUGUACUACCAUUGUUUUCUGAACAAA